rnacentral:lncRNA from 1 species
AGUAACCAUCUGCCCUUGAGUGGGUUCACAUGAUCUCUGUAGGAGUCAGUUUGCUCGGUGGCACAAGAAGUUCAUUGGGGCAAAUGAAAGAGGAGAGAAAGUGGAGCGAAGGCAUAGCUGUCUGUGCAGUGCGUCUCCUUAAUGGAACUGCAGGAGAUGGGGUCCUCUAUUCUGUUCUGAGAGUGCAUGAGAUUGAGGACAUUGUCUCCAAAUGUUGUUAUCAAAUUACAGCUUUACUUUGUAGCCACAGUCUUUAAGUAAGUUGAUAAAGUAGUAAAAAAACAGUAAGUAGUGAGUACUGGAAAGGACAUUAGUGAUCCUUUGGGAAUCCAGGAAACUGAAGUCAUAGAAGGAGAAGGGAUCACUGUCAUCUUGUGCCAUCAGCUAGCAGUCAGGCUGGGGCAUGUACUCUAGCCCCAGCCCAGACCUAGUAGUUUCAUGGUCUGCUCCUCAUGCUCAUUUAAACCUCUUAGGUGACCAAACACCUCUUUUUAUGGUAAAGCUCAUCCUAAGACCUUUGUUUUCCUCAUCAGGAAGUCUCUCUUAGCCUCUUAGGGAUGCCUCCAGGGUCUCCUUUAUCGAAAACUUUAUUUUCUAUUCUUUAUUGUGUCAUAGAAGUUCUAAGAAAACCUGAGAUGCUGUGAUCAGACUUCACUCUUGGUGCUUCUUGUAACUUUAUUGCUUCUUUCCAAACACAGAAGUCAUUUCAGACAGUUUUUAAUGCUUUGCAUUAGUGCAGACAUUAGCUCUCCAUUACAGUAACAAAACACCUGAGGUGAUUUAAAAAAAAAAAAAAAAGAGGUUAUAUGUUAUGAUUCUAGUUUUUGGAGGUUUCAGUUCAUGCCAGUUGGCUCCAUUAGGUUUCGGUUUGUGGUCAGGUAGAGCCUAUGAUGGGAGCCGGAGGCAGAGGGAGACUUUACCUCCGGCCAGAGUGAAUGAGAGGCAGAGGAAAUGAUUAGAGUCCCAUAACCCGUAACGUCUCAGCCGUAUCUCCUAAAGGUUCCCCUGUCUCUCAGCAAUGGAACAGGCUAGGAACCACGACUUUUUUUUUUCUUGGAACCAUAACUUUUAGAAAUUGGCCUCUGGGUGGAUAUUUAAGAUUUAUGCUCUAGUAUAGUGUCAGACACUUUGCUUUGGAACAGUUGCUGUUUCCCUCAUAUUCCAGACGGAAGUUUGGAGAUUUACACAGUUCUGUCCUUGUGGGGACAUCCAGGUCCAGUAAACAGUUGGCUCCAAGGGUUGAAGUCACACUGUCUCAUUGCAGAGUCUGCGUCUUUAGACAGUGGGUACUCUCUCCACCUUGCUUCUUGCAGACCCCUGUACCCCUCCUUCAGCACACACUCCCACCUUUGCCUGCUUCCUCUGGGUCUGAUUUAGAUUCCCUUUCUCUUGGCAGCCCCAAACCCUGGUGAAUCGGAAUUGCAACCCUGCCCUUAGUCUCCAAACCUGGAUCCCCUAGCAGUCUCAGUUGCAUUGAACACUCUGUACUUCCUGAUAUACUCUGAGCCUAGUUCCAGGCUCUCUCCCUGGCUGUCUUCUCCGUCCGUCCGUCUGUCCGUCCGUCCGUCUGUCUGUCUGUGGUUCUGUUGAGAUGUCCGUGCAGGUGGCUCACAGUUUACUUGUUGAAGUCCAGGUGGACCCUUGGGUGACCAACUGGAGGUAGGGAUACUUCAGAGGUCUUUGUGGCUCCCCUGUGAUAAACCCCAGCUCUGUGCCAGAGGUAUAGAGCUGAACAUGGAAGACAUUUUUGAAAACAUUUACCUGUAAGCAGAUAACUAAGAAACAGUUUUUCCCUGUGGGAAAUAAUGUGAUUUUUUUUUUUUUUUUUUUUUUUUUUACAAGGACAGAUGGCAUUUUCGCCACUUUGGGCAUUCUAGGAGGCGUCUUUGUCAAAAAGAACUCAGAAGAGCUUAUGUUGGCAGGAGCCAACGAGCCGAGUUUGCAAGCCCCUCCAGCCUCCUUUCUGUAAAGACAGUGGUGAGGGACACGCUCUUACGGUGUGAGCGAAAUAAGCCAUGACAGUGUCUCUAAGUUCCAAUAAUCCAGCACACCCAGCCAUGAUGACGGAUUGAAAAGGAAACCAGGAGCAGAAUUUGGAGGGAGUCUCUCUUCACUCCCCUUCACUCCCUGGAGUUUCCAGCUGCUCUGCUAUCUUUGGUUUAAACAGAGAUAUUUUUGUCAAGAUU